UUWAAACUUUCAACAAUGGAUCUCUUGGUUCCGGCAUCGAUGAAGAACGCAGCGAAAUGCGAUACGUAAUGUGAAUUGCAAAUUCAGUGAAUCAUCGAGUCUUUGAACGCACAUUGCGCCCCCUGGUAUUCCGGGGGGCAUGCCUGUCCGAGCGUCAUU
rnacentral:rRNA from 1 species